rnacentral:rRNA from 1 species
GACGAACGCUGGCGGCGUGCCUAAUACAUGCAAGUCGAACGCAGUGGGGACGGGUGAGUAACACGUGGGUAACCUCCCCAUCAGAGGGGAUAACACUUGGAAACAGGUGCUAAACCGAUACUGCAGGAUGAACCCGCGGUGGAUUAGCUAGUUGGUGAGGUAACGGCUCACGAAGGCCACGAUGCAUAGCCGGACGGAGGGGGUGAGCGGCCACACGGGGACUGAGACACGGCCCAGACUCCGACGGGAGGCAGCAGUGGGGAAUCGGCGGAAAUGGACGAAAGGCUGACAGAGCAACGCCGCGUGAGUGAAGAAGGUUUGCGGAUCGUAAAACUCUGGUUGUAGAGAAGCGGUAUCUAACCAGAAAGCCACGGCUAACUACGUGCCAGCAGCCGCGGUAAUUC